rnacentral:rRNA from 1 species
CGGAAAAAGAAGAGUGGCGAACGGGUGAGUAACACGUGGGUAACCUGCCCAUCAGAAGGGGAUAACACUUGGAAACAGGUGCUAAUACCGUAUAACAAUCGAAACCGCAUGGUUUUGAUUUGAAAGGCGCUUUCGGGUGUCGCUGAUGGAUGGACCCGCGGUGCAUUAGCUAGUUGGUGAGGUAACGGCUCACCAAGGCCACGAUGCAUAGCCGACCUGAGAGGGUGAUCGGCCACAUUGGGACUGAGACACGGCCCAAACUCCUACGGGAGGCAGCAGUAGGGAAUCUUCGGCAAUGGACGAAAGUCUGACCGAGCAACGCCGCGUGAGUGAAGAAGGUUUUCGGAUCGUAAAACUCUGUUGUUAGAGAAGAACAAGGAUGAGAGUAACUGUUCAUCCCUUGACGGUAUCUAACCAGAAAGCCACGGCUAACUACGUGCCAGCAGCCGCGGUAAUACGUAGGUGGCAAGCGUUGUCCGGAUUUAUUGGGCGUAAAGCGAGCGCAGGCGGUUUCUUAAGUCUGAUGUGAAAGCCCCCGGCUCAACCGGGGAGGGUCAUUGGAAACUGGGAGACUUGAGUGCAGAAGAGGAGAGUGGAAUUCCAUGUGUAGCGGUGAAAUGCGUAGAUAUAUGGAGGAACACCAGUGGCGAAGGCGGCUCUCUGGUCUGUAACUGACGCUGAGGCUCGAAAGCGUGGGGAGCAAACAGGAUUAGAUACCCUGGUAGUCCACGCCGUAAACGAUGAGUGCUAAGUGUUGGAGGGUUUCCGCCCUUCAGUGCUGCAGCUAACGCAUUAAGCACUCCGCCUGGGGAGUACGACCGCAAGGUUGAAACUCAAAGGAAUUGACGGGGGCCCGCACAAGCGGUGGAGCAUGUGGUUUAAUUCGAAGCAACGCGAAGAACCUUACCAGGUCUUGACAUCCUUUGACCACUCUAGAGAUAGAGCUUCCCCUUCGGGGGCAAAGUGACAGGUGGUGCAUGGUUGUCGUCAGCUCGUGUCGUGAGAUGUUGGGUUAAGUCCCGCAACGAGCGCAACCCUUAUUGUUAGUUGCCAUCAUUUAGUUGGGCACUCUAGCAAGACUGCCGGUGACAAACCGGAGGAAGGUGGGGAUGACGUCAAAUCAUCAUGCCCCUUAUGACCUGGGCUACACACGUGCUACAAUGGGAAGUACAACGAGUCGCGAAGUCGCGAGGCUAAGCUAAUCUCUUAAAGCUUCUCUCAGUUCGGAUUGUAGGCUGCAACUCGCCUACAUGAAGCCGGAAUCGCUAGUAAUCGCGGAUCAGCACGCCGCGGUGAAUACGUUCCCGGGCCUUGUACACACCGCCCGUCACACCACGAGAGUUUGUAACACCCGAAGUCGGUGAGGUAACCUUUGGAGCCAGCC